rnacentral:rRNA from 1 species
GAUGAACGCUGGCGGCGUGCCUAAUACAUGCAAGUCGAGCGAACAGAUGAGGAGCUUGCUCCUCUGACGUUAGCGGCGGACGGGUGAGUAACACGUGGAUAACCUACCUAUAAGACUGGGAUAACUUCAGGAAACCGGAGCUAAUACCGGAUAAUAUAUUGAACCGCAUGGUUCAAUAGUGAAAGGCGGUUUUGCUGUCACUUAUAGAUGGAUCCGCGCCGCAUUAGCUAGUUGGUAAGGUAACGGCUUACCAAGGCAACGAUGCGUAGCCGACCUGAGAGGGUGAUCGGCCACACUGGAACUGAGACACGGUCCAGACUCCUACGGGAGGCAGCAGUAGGGAAUCUUCCGCAAUGGGCGAAAGCCUGACGGAGCAACGCCGCGUGAGUGAUGAAGGUCUUCGGAUCGUAAAACUCUGUUAUUAGGGAAGAACAAAUGUGUAAGUAACUAUGCACGUCUUGACGGUACCUAAUCAGAAAGCCACGGCUAACUACGUG